UAGGGAAUCUUCCACAAUGGACGCAAGUCUGAUGGAGCAACGCCGCGUGAGUGAAGAAGGUUUUCGGAUCGUAAAGCUCUGUUGUUGGUGAAGAAGGAUAGAGGCAGUAACUGGUCUUUAUUUGACGGUAAUCAACCAGAAAGUCACGGCUAACUACGUGCCAGCAGCCGCGGUAAUACGUAGGUGGCAAGCGUUGUCCGGAUUUAUUGGGCGUAAAGCGAGCGCAGGCGGAAUGAUAAGUCUGAUGUGAAAGCCCACGGCUCAACCGUGGAACUGCAUCGGAAACUGUCAUUCUUGAGUGAAGAAGAGGAGAGUGGAAGUCCAUGUGUAGCGGUGGAAUGCGUAGAUAUAUGGAAGAACGCCAGUGGCGAAGGCGGCUCUCUGGUCUGCAACUGACGCUGAGGCUCGAAAGCAUGGGUAGCGAACAGG
rnacentral:rRNA from 1 species